rnacentral:rRNA from 1 species
AUACGGAGGGGGCUAGCGUUGUUCGGGAUUACUGGGCGGAAAGCGCGUGUAGGCGGAUCGUUAAGUCAGGGGUGAAAGCCCGGGGCUCAACCCCGGAACUGCCCUUGAUACUGGCGAUCUAGAGUCCGGAAGAGGUGGGCGGAAUUCCCGGUGUAGAGGUGAAAUUCGUAGAUAUCGGGAGGAACACCAGUGGCGAAGGCGGCUCACUGGUCCGGCACUGACGCUGAGACGCGAAAGCGUGGGGAGCAAACAGGAUUAGAAACCCCUGUAGUCC